rnacentral:rRNA from 1 species
GAAUCGAAGCCCCAGUAAACGGCGGCCGUAACUAUAACGGUCCUAAGGUAGCGAAAUUCCUUGUCGGGUAAGUUCCGACCCGCACGAAAGGCGUAACGAUUUGGGCACUGUCUCAACGAGAGACUCGGUGAAAUCAUAGUACCUGUGAAGAUGCAGGUUACCCGCGACAGGACGGAAAGACCCCGUGGAGCUUUACUGUAGCCUGAUAUUGAAAUUCGGCACAGCUUGUACAGGAUAGGUAGGAGCCUUUGAAACGUGAGCGCUAGCUUACGUGGAGGCGCUGGUGGG